ACAAGUAGAAAUUUAUUAGUGAUAUUAGAGCAGGACUUGCUGCUAACAGUCAUACAGAUGUAACUUCUGACUUCUCUUAAACCUUAUCUACGAAAUAUUCCUUUUGUGAGAUUGAUCAGUUCUGUAUAGCCAGGAUGGUGUAGGCAGGAUUUGAUUCCCUAGUGGGUCUUAAAUUCUAACAGAAAUUUCCUUGAGAAAGGCAGCCACAUUUUAAAAAUUUAAUUUAAAUUAAUUUCCUGUUGGACUUAUUUUCUAAGCAGUGGGGGUUUAUGUUUAUCUGUUUAAAUCAAGUAAAUAUUUCAAAUUAUUAUCAGCCACGAAGGGAACAUGUCUUGGCCAAAGCUUUCAGGAACUCAACUUGGCUGUGUUUUGUGUGUGACUGAAUUGUGAUCAGACCCAAGUUGAGGUGUCUCUGUGUGCUGGCCAUGCACACUCCAUGAGCAGCCAUACUCAAUGUAGGCCAUGGAGCUCAGAGAAUAACUGAGCUAUUCAUUGUCAGUCUCAGGACAAGCAGAAUCACAACUGAGAUACAGAGGCAUCAGACAGUUGAGUGAGAAUAGUCUGAAAUAAUGGGAUGUGACCAAUGAAAUUACUCUGUCAUCUGAGAUAACCCUGUAUCCCUGCCAUAGGCCAUGGACUGCUUCAUCUCCCACCAGGACAUGAACCUCCCCUGGAAUCAGUCUCUCCACAAGCUUUCUGUCUGCUCUGCUGGAGGAGCUUCUCCACACAGUUCCCUGAUGACAGUUCUCCCUGUGAGGAGGUGGUCACAGCUGACACCUCGGAGAACCCGCACCAUCGGUACCUGGGCUGGAACACGAAUGGUUGGCAGGGCACUCGAGUGGGAUAUGGCUGUGUGUUUCCAGUGACAUGGACCAUGGAUAAGGACAGCCAAGGGCAAAUCACCUGCCUUACUGCACCAAAGAGGCAGAAGUUGGUCCCAACGGGCCUUUCACGCUGCAGGGGUUUGAGUGUCAGCAGUAAUGUAAAUGCAGUCUGAGUGUUAACAGUAAUGUAAAUUUACCUUCUCCUGUAACUCUAUGCACUUCUCCCGGGCUAGCUCUGCUCCUCUUCACUUCCCCAUCUGCCUGGAUUGUCUGUGUUUUCUUUACUCAUAAGGCCACACCACCUGAGAUGCUCACAGGAAACUCGCUGUAAUUAAGAAAUGCAGAUAGUUAAUAAAUGUAAUUUAAAGCAAAUGA